UUGGAUUGGAAAAGCCUCCAGCAAUUGUGGAGUGGAUCAUCUUGGGUGCGUUCAAGCUGCUGGCCGGGAGCUUCGUGUCCGCGUUCUUGCCUCCCAGACGUGUGGAGGAUGCAAAGGGCAGCAUUGAGGUGGACUGGUGUCCUAAUCCCGCUGCCAAUCCGGAAGAGUACCGGCAGCUCAACGUGAAUGUGUAUCGGCCACCAGCAUUCGAGAAGGGAUACAAGCUGGCGGAGCUGGGAGCGCUGAAAUCAGGCAAGCUUGGACCAUACUACGAUGGAGGCUUGCGCUGCCCCUUCCGGCAAAUGCACGCAUAGCAAUAGAACGGGCAUAGGACAUUCGUUCGGAGAACCAAGCAUCAUUUAAAAAUGAUGAAUCUUUUUGUAAUUUUUGCAGAUAGCACAAAACCAUUAUUAAUAGUACGGGAUCCAAACAAUUUAGAAACACAGAGACAAAAAUAUUGCAGGUUGUAGUUAGAAGUCUAAGUUGACACGCUCGCUUACACCUAAGAGAACGAAAAGCUUGUCAAGCGGAAGGAAUAAAGAUCAAAAGCUUACCUCCACGAGAAAACCUCACGUUAAUCCAUGGGGCUAGCAUGCCCACCAUCAGGUGCGAACUACCAAACUUUCCUUCGAGUCCAGCGCCGCACUCACUGGCCAAUCAGGGUACCCGAGUACAACUUGAGCUCUCCCACUGAGAUGGCUGCAAAGCCGCUUUCAAAGCUCGGCAUCCCCCAUGCCUGUUCAAGGCAACAGACUUUAAACACACGACAAAAACUCACCUUGGAGCAACCGGCCAACAGGGUGCGACCCAUCCGGAAUCGUAAUGUCCUCCGAUAACAAGGAUGCUCUCCAGGCUGCAAACUUAUCCCGAACCUCCUGCGUGGUGAAGGCGCGUGUGAACUCUUCCGAGAUCGGCUCUGUGGGUGAGUCAGGGAACUAAUGCAGAGAAGCUUCAACCAGCUGGUUUCCCUUGACCUGCACAUAUUCAUCGAUCUCAGAAAUGGCAUAUCGCCAUUCCCUCAUAUCCAUGGCAUACAGAAAACAAACAGAAAUUGAUUUCAAAACACGAAACACGAAACUGGUACAUACAUGAAGAUAUGUUGGAGGUCUUGCUUGCUUCCCUAAGCUAGCAGUGAUCCACGUACACGAAAACCUGUACCAGAUCUUAGCGCAGAUGUCAGAUACUAACCAGCUUUACAUACCUGUAGCAGAUUGCGGUGCUUCACAUCAAAUUCCCAAUCUUAGUGUACGCACAUCCAGGAUCGAGGUGGUGAACGCUAGAAUGCCUGAAUGCCAAUCAAGCUCGGCCUGUUCCUCCUCAGAGGAGGUGACAUUGUUAGUAGGUUGAUCAAUGCCAUCAUGUGGAAACUCCAGGUCCAGAAAAACGGCCUCCUCAUCCUGUGCCUCCUCAUCCUCCUCCAACUCUAAGCCCAUUUCUAACUGGAACUCCCCUCACUCUGGUUCCUGCUCAUCGUGCUUACACUCUGCCUUGUACAGCAUGAAAAGGGCAAAUGAACACAAGAGCCUAGAGAAAAUGCUUGCCGGCCCUUGUCUUGGAAAACCAAUGUGGCGUACACCUCCAACCACAUGCACGGCGCUCUCCCUUCCUGGAAACCUCUUUCGAUUAUACCUGGAAUGUCGAGAAACUUAGACACAAGACGAGGCCAAGAAUCCUUACCGAUUCUUGGAGGCGUGGCAUCUGGGAUCUGUUCGAUCAGCCUGUACCUCUUCUUAAAUUGCUCUUUAGUAAUCUUGCUAGGUGACACUUGGAAUAGUGGUGUUUCUUGCUGUAGCGCUGCGAGUUGUGCUGUGGGAGCAACUCCUUGAGCAGAGCCCUAAUGCGUUCCAAAAACGAACCAAAACCUGCAUCCCUCUGUUUCUUAUGAGCUGCCCCCCUCCACCUCUUCUGACUUUGGUGCCUCUCUUUUGGUGAUGACGGCAUUGCCGUAUAUGAUCGAGGUCACGGACUUGCCCCGAGGAUGGGUGAUUCCACCUCGAUUUUCGAUCUGACAUUGCUUGCCACAAUCUACAUGGAAUCAAGGAGUUUGAAACAAUGCUUUAGCAAACUCUUAAGCUUUUGAAGUUUAGACAAAGGCCAUCGAGCUCAAAGAACCUAGACAUUAAAGGUUCUUGGAAGGAUAGUGAGAACUUGGAUCACUGUCACAACCUUGCAAUCCUUUGAGACAGCCCAGAUGUUCGGAAUGUUGAAAGCCUAAGAAACAUAUGGUAAAUGGGCCCCAUGCAUAUACUAAUAUUCCGCUGCUGUUGCAGAAGAAUGAUCUGAACAAUCCAAAGAGUAGCAGUAGCAACACUGCAGCCUGAUGCAUCUCCUUAGUGCACUCACUGGGAAAGUCACCAAAUUGGAGAAGCUGAACAAGCUGCUGCUUACCGUUAAAUCAAAGGGCAAUUGCUACACCAAGCAUAUAUAUUAAAAAAGAGAUGCUGGAGCUGUCAACGUGGAAAGCAAGGGAGCAAACUGUAAGGCUUUUUCUAUUAUGACUUUCCAAUUUAUGAUAAAAUGUGGCAAGUCCAAUUUAUUAGAAAGAGUGUCAACCGUUUGUUCCUAGCUUAGUAAACCCCUAACCAUGCGCUUGCCAUGUUUGGGGACAACAUUACUGUUGCAAUGACUCUUAACCAAGCUUGUGCUGUUAAGCUUCAAGAGACCCUCGUGGUAGUAAGAAGCUGCCAAGUCACACCAAGUCACAGUUACCCAAUGUGCAGGUCAACGGCCUCCUUGAUGGGCGGCCUGGCCUGAAUCGACGAGCAGUGCACUCCAUGGAUCUAGCCGCCAGUGGUGUCAUCCAUCCGGCAUGGCCGCUCCAAGAGCUUUAUACAGAAGUUGAUCUAUAAUAAUCAUGACUUUAAUUUGACAACUAAACUUGACCAUAUACCUUUUAAAAAUUCUAGAUUAUUCAUUACAAUCCAUACGUUAUUCAUUUAAAUCUCUUAUAAAAAUGAAUAAACCAAAAAACCAUAUUGUAUUUAAUAGUUUACUUUGAAAUUAUGCUAGAUUAAACUGUAUACUAGUUUAAGAGAAACAAACUGGACUACAAUUUGGUAAAUCACGAGUAUACUAAUUUAAAUAUAGACUAUCUCUGGUUUCUAGGAAAUCUGUAAUUAAGGAACCAGAAUCCUGUUCUAAACGUGAAACGUUCAAGUUGGUAGGACCGAUAAAUUGCAUGGACCAGAUAACUGUAUGGAAAACGUGCACCGUAUAAAACGACAAGAUUUCUCUCCAAGUAUGUGGCUAUGUGUGUAACGUACAGAAUACGGAUCACACGGAAAUAAAAAACGUGAAAUGUGAUCUCUAAUAGCUCUGAUAGUAUAAAAGACCCUUCUCCAGCCUCUGUUUCCUCAACCCACAGAGGAGUAGAAAACAUUCUCCAAUCAAGUUGAUCAGAUCGAUCAAACAGUUUUCACCAUUUCGACAUGGCUGCAAUCGUGUUGAUGAUUGCGUUUCUCGUGAUGGCUGCAGCAUGGAAGAUGGUGUGUAUCCGCAAGAGAGAAGAGAGGGCACGAUUUCUAGCGUCGCUCCACCCCGUGAGAGACGCACACAAGAUCUUGUGGUACAUGUACUCGGUGGAAUUCCCCUUCCUCUCGCAAAAGGCGCUCGAGUUUGGCACAAUCCGCACGCUCGGCAUCCCGGGGAUCACAAAUCUGCUCUUCAAGACCAAGUACGGCCUCAAGGAUCCGCAGAAGCGCGCCGCCGAGACCAACAUUCUGGUGAGCGAGAUGAUCCACCACCACGUCGACAGCGAUCGCGGCUCAUACGCGGUGAGGAGAUUGAAUGGAAUCCACAACAAAUUCAAGAUCCCAAACGACCAAUUCGCCUACGUCCUCUGCCUCAACGUGGUCAGCCCCAUUGAUUUCUCCGAGAGAUUUGGAUUCCGCAAGUGGACCGACAACGAGAAGGAGGCCGCGUAUGUUGUGUGGCACGACGUGGGCGUGAGGAUGGGCAUCACAACCAUCCCAGAUAGCAUUCCAGAGAUGCGGGAGUACAUUCGCGAUUACGAGGCCAAGAACGCCAUCUUCACGGACAAGAACAAGAGCAUCGUCCAGGAUCUCAAGCAUCUGGUGCUGGAUGCAUUUCCUCGCCCCGUGCAGCCGCUGGUCGAGACUGGGAUCUGUGCACUCAUCGAUCCCACAAUCAGGAGCGCUGUUGGAUUGGAAAAGCCUCCAGCAAUUGUGGAGUGGAUCAUCUUGGGUGCGUUCAAGCUGCUGGCCGGGAGCUUCGUGUCCGCGUUCUUGCCUCCCAGACGUGUGGAGGAUGCAAAGGGCAGCAUUGAGGUGGACUGGUGUCCUAAUCCCGCUGCCAAUCCGGAAGAGUACCGGCAGCUCAACGUGAAUGUGUAUCGGCCACCAGCAUUCGAGAAGGGAUACAAGCUGGCGGAGCUGGGAGCGCUGAAAUCAGGCAAGCUUGGACCAUACUACGAUGGAGGCUUGCGCUGCCCCUUCCGGCAAAUGCACGCAUAGCAAUAGAACGGGCAUAGGACAUUCGUUCGGAGAACCAAGCAUCAUUUAAAAAUGAUGAAUCUUUUUGUAAUUUUUGCAGAUAGCACAAAACCAUUAUUAAUAGUACGGGAUCCAAACAAUUUAGAAACACAGAGACAAAAAUAUUGCAGGUUGUAGUUAGAAGUCUAAGUUGACACGCUCGCUUACACCUAAGAGAACGAAAAGCUUGUCAAGCGGAAGGAAUAAAGAUCAAAAGCUUACCUCC
rnacentral:lncRNA from 1 species